rnacentral:tRNA from 1 species
GGAGAGGUCGCAUAGUGGUCUAGUGCGCACGCUUGGAAAGCGUGUGGGGGGAAACCCUCCGCGAGUUCAAAUCUUGGCAGGUACCCCA